rnacentral:rRNA from 1 species
GCAAGUCGAGCGAGAAAGGUCUUCGGACUGAGUACAGCGGCGGACGGGUGAGUAACGCGUAAGAAUCUACCUAGUAGUGGGGGACAACUCGGGGAAACUCGAGCUAAUACCGCAUACGCCCUACGGGGGAAAGCGGGGGACCUUCGGGCCUCGCGCUAUUAGAUGAGCUUGCGUUGGAUUAGCUUGUUGGUGAGGUAAUGGCUCACCAAGGCGACGAUCCAUAGCUGGUCUGAGAGGAUGAUC